rnacentral:lncRNA from 1 species
UGUGUGUGUGUUUGUGUCUGAGAGUGAGGGGAGGGAGAGAGAGAGAGAGAUUAGGGUAGGAAAGCAUGUGGUGGGGAAUUAAUUUGGGGGACUGACUGACUGCAAGAGAGAAGAGGAGCAGUUGGGCCAGCAAAUUAAAUGGGGUUCCGAUGGCAUAGCAAAACACAUGUCAAAGAUUUCUGAGCCAAAUACAUCCCGAUCCCAAUCAGUGACAAGGCAGAGAGCCCCACCCCAGGGCUCUACCCUAUCGCUUCUCGUUGCAUGGGGCG